CCCUCGAUUAUUCUUUUUUACAGCUAAUCAACUGCGUUUGAUUCUUAAUGCUGAUUUAAGUGUCUUGCUUCACUGUCUCUACACCUAUGUUCCACAUCUUGCCAGCCCCAUUAUAUAUUGUCUGAGGACAAGAGAAAUUAAAAGGACCCUUAGUAAUAUAUUCAAGAUAAGCGCUGGAAACAGUGAUAGAAUUAGAUAUUGAAGGUGCC